rnacentral:rRNA from 1 species
CAAUAGCGUAUAUUUAAGUUGUUGCAGUUAAAAAGCUCGUAGUUGGAUUUCUGCUGAUCGCUGUCGGUCUGCCGUCAGGUGUGUACUGGCAGUGUUUGGCAUCCAUUCGAGAUUGGGUGUCCACUUGAUUGUGUGCACUCGAUGUCGGAGCUAAUACUUUGAGAAAAUUAGAGUGUUCCACGCAGGCGCGUGCCUUGAAUACUGCAGCAUGGGAUAUUGGAAGGCCGAUUGAGCUUUCUUGUUGGUUCUCGGUUUGAUCGGAAUGAUUAAUAGGGAUAGUUGGGGGCAUUCGUAUUCAACUGUCAGAGGUGAAAUUCUUGGAUUUGUUGAAGACGGACUACUGCGAANGNAUCUGCNAUGGAUGUUCNCAUUG